rnacentral:rRNA from 1 species
ACGGAGGGUGCAAGCGUUGUUCGGAUUUACUGGGCGUAAAGAGCGUGUAGGCGGUUUAGCAAGUCAGAUGUGAAAGCCCUGGGCUCAACCCGGGAAGUGCAUUUGAAACUGCUUCACUAGAGUAUGGGAGAGGAGAUUGGAAUUCCUGGUGUAGAGGUGAAAUUCGUAGAUAUCAGGAGGAACACCCGUGGCGAAGGCGAUUCUCUGGACCAAUACUGACGCUGAGACGCGAAAGCGUGGGGAGCAAACAGG